GAUGAACGCUUGCGGCGUGCCUACUACAUGCAAGUCGAGCGAAUGGAUUAAGAGCUUGCUCUUAUGAAGUUAGCGGCGGACGGGUGAGUAACACGUGGGUAACCUGCCCAUAAGACUGGGAUAACUCCGGGAAACCGGGGCUAAUACCGGAUAACAUUUUGAACCGCAUGGUUCGAAAUUGAAAGGCGGCUUCGGCUGUCACUUAUGGAUGGACCCGCGUCGCAUUAGCUAGUUGGUGAGGUAACGGCUCACCAAGGCAACGAUGCGUAGCCGACCUGGUAGGGUGAUCGGCCAACCUGGGACUGAGAAUCGGCCCAGCGUCCUACGGGAGGCAGCAGGAGGGCAUCUUCCGCAAUGGGCGAAAGUCUGACGGAGCAACGCCGCGUGAGUGAUGAAGGCUUUCGGGUCGUAAAACUCUGUUGUUAGGGAAGAACAAGUGCUAGUUGAAUAAGCUGGCACCUUGACGGUACCUAACCAGAAAGCCACGGCUAACUACGUGCCAGCAGCCGCAGUAA
rnacentral:rRNA from 1 species